rnacentral:rRNA from 1 species
ACGCUGGCGGCACGCCUAACACAUGCAAGUCGAACGCAGUAGCAAUACUGAGUGGCAGACGGGUGAGUAUAAUGUGGGAAUCUGCCUUUUGGUUCGGAAUAACACGAGGAAACUUGUGCUAAUACCGGAUAAGCCUUUACAGGGAAAGUUUUAAUGCCAAAAGAUGAGCCCGCACUUGAUUAGCUAGUUGGUAAGGUAACUGCUUACCAAGGCAACGAUCAAUAGCUGUUCUUAGAGGAAGACCAGCCACAUUGGGACUGAGACACGGCCCAAACUCCUACGGGAGGCAGCAGUGGGGAAUCUUGCACAAUGGGGGCAACCCUGAUGCAGCGAUGCCGCGUGAGUGAAGAAGGCCUUUGGGUUGUAAAACUCUUUCGUCGGGGAAGAAAAUGACUGUACCCGAAUAAGAAGGUCCGGCUAACUUCGUGCCAGCAGCCGCGGUAAUACGAAGGGACCUAGCGUAGUUCGGAAUUACUGGGCUUAAAGAGUUCGUAGGUGGUUAAAAAAGUUGAUGGUGAAAUCCCAAGGCUCAACCUUGGAACUGCCAUCAAAACUUUUUAGCUAGAGUAUGAUAGAGGAAAGUGGAAUUUCUAGUGUAGAGGUGAAAUUCGUAGAUAUUAGAAAGAACAUCAAAUGCGAAGGCAACUUUCUGGAUCAUUACUGACACUGAGGAACGAAAGCAUGGGUAGCGAAGAGGAUUAGAUACCCUCGUAGUCCAUGCCGUAAACGAUGUGUGCUAGACGUUGGAAACUUAGUUUUCAGUGUCGCAGAGAAAUCGUU